AAUUGUGAGGAAAACCAGGAAGAGAUAUCUGUCAUACCAUUGGUUGCUAGGGUUAAAUCAGCUGAUUUGAAUGGGUUUCCCCUUCCAUCUUCAUUCCUCUUAUGGCCUGCUUUGUCAAAGAGGACGUCCUUCUAGGAACAGAGAAGGAGAAGUCUUUGUCAAAGGUAUUNAAGUAGCCACAUACCCUGCUAGAACCUCCAAACAAGCUUCUUACUAAGAACAAUUACACUGAAGGCAGAACAAACACAAAACAAACCUAUUGAAUUUGAAAAU
rnacentral:snRNA from 1 species